GCAACAUACACUUGAAACAAAUAGCCAAACCGAAAACUGCAGACAAAAAUGCUUUCUGCCACUAAGAUCAGUGAAAUGUACGCUAAACUGACAAAGGAGUGGAGAGCAGAAACGACAACUAGCAAUCAAGUCGCAGCAAUGAAGAACGCGAAGGGGGGGAUUCUGGCAGAGGGGAGAUUUUCAGCACAACACCUGUGCCGAAGCAAAUGCUACGUACGUUUUACAGGUAUAACAUAUACCUUAUGUAUUUCACCGAAAAUCCCUCAUAUUUAUUAUAAUUCAUUGUUUUAAGGUUAUUUUGAGAUGUGUUGCACUACUUUUAAGAGUGAACUAUUGUAUUGUAUUUAUUUUCUAAAUUGUGUUAAUGCUGUGAGGUCAUCAACGGGAGCCAUGCUUUUACUCUUCGGUUUGCUCAGCGCGUGAUGAGGAGAGGCAAUAAACUUGUGUAUGGUAGUCCAAACGGCAGCAUCAACAUUUGCUUUGUAUUUGUGUCCAUUCCAUGCAGUCACUAAAAGAGAGACAACCGGCAGAAUUGUGUCCAGACUUGUCUUCCACCUACACCUCACCAGAACACAACGCAGAAAGAUUUCCUGUCAUCAACCUCUUGCCUGAUCUCCCGGACUACGUUAUUAGCCUUUUUCCCUGCCUGUACUGUUACCUUUUUGGAAUCCCUGUGUAUGACCUUCUACCUGUCCCUGGACCAUGCUACCUGCCUCCUCCUGUGGUUCUUUACACCUGCUGCGCCCUGCGCUUGAAACCAGCACUUUGUCUCCCAUCAUACUCAUUACAGGUGGACAUGUUUAGUAAUUAGUGUGUGUGUGUGUAAGAUGUGGGGAGAAAUCCAAUUUGACAUUUACUAAAUUACAUUUUGUUCUUGAAGAAAGGUUUGAAUUCAAAAUGCUAUAGAAAACCUUUCCCAAGUUGUUAUUUAUGCAAAUUCCCCUGUAAUUAUUGGGGUCUGAUUUGUCUCCACUCUUGUGGACAGGGGAAAAGUUAAUACCAUAUUGAACAAUUUAAGCACAGCAUUUAGCAACUCAGGUGUGCUGUUUUUCAGUAUUUCAUUUCUGAUGUUUUCAAGACCACAAGCCUUUUGAUUUUUUAGAUUUGAGCUUUUCAUUUAGUUCUUGUUGGGUUAUUGGGCAAUUUUUUAUGGAUUUUGUUUGUUUUUAAUAACAGAACCAACAUCUUUUUGUGGGGUGUUUUUUGUAAAGAGGAUCACAAUACGUUUCCCAAAUUCCUUCAUCUUGUAUGGCUAAUUCAUGUGGCUUUGUCGUGCUUAAAUUGUUCCACAUGUUUCAGAACUCAUUUUGUUCAAUUGCGUUUUCAAUUUCGUCAAGUGUCUUGUUAGUAUAAUUCAAUUUCUUGCGUUUCAGUGUAUGUUUCUAGCGUGGCUCUGGGUUGUUUGCUGCUUAUGGUUUUCAUUUGACAUUUUGUCUUAGGUGUUUUCUAAUUCUUUUACAUUCAUUGUCAAACCAUUUUUCAGAAAUGUUUUGUUUCUUUGGUUUUCUCAAAUUUGCUUUUGAUGCUGUUUUUUGGAAUAUGCAAUUGUUGUUUUGAGUAGCUGAAUUGACACCUUUUUUAUUGUUUUGGUAUUGUGAGUUAUUGAAGAACUUUAUAGAGUUCAAUGUAUCUCUCUGCACUGUUUUGAGCCCGUCUGUACAAUUGGUUAUGUUGAGAGUUUAUUGGGCUGUUUUUUUUUCAUGAAUAUUGACGGUUAAUUUCUUCAGAAACAGGUUGAUCUGACUGAUCUGACAAUGGUGUCUGUGGUCUGACAGUGA
rnacentral:lncRNA from 1 species